rnacentral:rRNA from 1 species
UCACUCAACCAUUACUCACUGAAGCUAAGCAGGGCUGAGCCUGGUCAGUACCUGGAUGGGAGACCACUAGGGAACACUAGGUUGCUGUUGGAA